ACGGCUAUGGCGUCCGCGAAGUUUUCCUCCGGCAAUGGCUGUGACAGUCCAUCGGCAGCUGCACAGCCAUGAGUCCCUCUCAUUACCAUACCGCCCCUGCGUUCAUCAAUGCAAUGUCGUCUGCUGUGCCGUAUCCGACGUCUUUCUGCUUUCAGUAAAUGCUGUAUGUAGUAGCAGUACUCCCAUGCCGCCAUGCUCUCUCGUCCUCUCACUGUUUCCAUCUUCAUUGGGGAGCUUCUUCCUUCACUAGCAAUUGUGGGCUCCCUCCCGACCUCACGCAGUUUUGUCUGUUGGAGAUCUGUGCGCUAAGAUGAUUCCGCUUUGGAUGCCGAUUAGUCGUGUGGUAUCAUUACCUGAGCGAUGAUACUAUCCUUCUUGUAUUGCCAAAGUGUUGCUGUAGGUGGUGGUGUUCUGAAGGCACUUUGUUCAUGCUCGAUUCUCCGACUGUGAGGAGAGUUGUAGGUACUUGUAUAUGUGUACAACGUCACGGUUCUGUAGUGGGGUGAGACUCGCUUGAAGCUGCACCCGCAAUGCGGAAAUCAUUCCCCUACCCCCGCGGUGGAGAAUCUUUGUGAAAACGUUGGUAAUCGUUUCUGCGCUGUUCGGGUGGCCUCACGCUCAGCAACGUGUCGCCUCUCUCUCUCCCUCCCUCUCUCGCUAGUCGUCUGCCAGUACCUGACUUCACGUCGCUGUACCAUGCCGCAGAUUGCGGGAUCAUGUUUCGGUAUUGGUUGGUAGGGAAUGUGCAUAACGAAGAGUGACAGGUUGUCUAGUCUAGAUGAUUGUGAUCCACUGCUGUUUUCCGACUCUUUAGUGGCAGACCGUUGCACAAUGUAGGAAAUCUUAAGUUCAUUACCGAACCUUAACUUGCUCAAUCCUUCACACUCGCGACUUCACACUGGCAACGCAACGAGUACAUUCACAUGCAUAUUUCAAGCAGUUCUAUGAUUCAACUCUCAAGUUUUAUGCCUCCCCUAACUAUUUCCACGGGGCAGUCUUAAAGCACCAAAACAAUCAGUCUUCUUGGAGACACUUUUCACGAUCUUUCACUCCCUGACGCAUGAUACGGCGAAGCAGCUCUAUUCAACCCUGGUUUGCCGCUGCAGCUUCCGCAUUACAUCGAGGGUCGACAGAGUUUCUGACUUAGCGUUGGUUCUGGUUUGGUUCCGUUUCAAGUAGUCAAUUGCUUAGUCAAGACAUUGAGAAAGGACCUUCAUCUUGUUCCUUGGCGAGGACUUGAAACUUCACUUGGAUCCUGGUGCAGAUUGACUACAGGGCAGCAUGGGGAAGAAAAGCAAGUGGUUUAGUGCUGUGAAGAAAGCAUUCAGAUCUCCAUCUAAAGACAACGUUAAAACCACCCCCAGAGAUCUAGACCUUGUUGGGGACCUUCCACCAAUCGAGGUAGUUUAUGAUGGUUUUACGUUUCGGCAGGCGAGGUCUAGGAACAGAAGGAGAUGGAGCUUUGGGAAGUCAUCACAUCAACCAUCUGCCACUGAAUACGCGAAGGAAAAUUCUACAGAAAAUACCGCAGAAGAGUGUCGUAAGCAAGUGUCACUCAAAACUCCUGAUCCAGCUACCCGGGCCAGCCGCAGAGCAAGUACUCCAGUUCGGCGGAUCAAUGCCCUCUCAGUUUACUUGUCACCAGAAGAAAGGGCAGCAAUCAGAAUCCAGACAGCAUUUCGGGCGUAUUUGGCUCGGCGAGCUUUGCGAGCACUCAAGGGUCUGGUUCGUUUGCAAGCCUUGGUUCGUGGCCACACGGUUCGUCGUCAAGCCACCAUCACGUUACGUUGCAUGCAAGCACUGGUUAGAGUUCAGGCUCGUGUUCGGGCCAGAAGAGUGCGUAUGUCCGAGGAAGGGCGAGCAGUUCAAAAGCAGUUGUGGGAACGGAGACAGCUAGAAUCUCGUCCAAGGAAAUCUCUGGAUGGGGGCUGGAAUGAUAGCACUCAAACGAUGCAGGAGGAACAAGUCAAAUUGCUGAACAAGCAAGAGGCAGCCAUGAAGAGGGAAAGAGCUUUGGCAUAUGCUUUCUCCCAUCAGGCGUCACAACUCUUCAUAAAUUGCGAGCCCGACAAGCCCCACUGGGGGUGGAGCUGGUUAGAGCGAUGGAUGGCAGCGCGACCAUGGGAAAAUCGCAUCUUCGACAACAACGCUGUCUCUAAAGAUAUUUUCGAAAGUUUCUCUGUCAAAAGUGCAGACCUGGACGCCGUUCACAAGAAACUCGAAGUUUGCGAUCCUCGACUUACCAAACAAUCCAGCAUGUACAACAAGCAAAGGCACGUUUCGGCACAAAAUGGAGCCGUGAGAAGUGAAAGUUACUCGUCAAAUGGUCCGUGCAUGUCUGCGUCUCAUUUCAAUGCAUGCAGUCAUAGCCAUGGCAAUAACCAUUUCAGCCCAAGUACCAUGCAAAGAACUACUAGCCAGGGCGCGCUGCACUCACCAGCUACCCCAUCCUCAGGUCAGAAAUCUACACCCGUAAUGAUCCGAUCUGCAAGUCCUCGCAAUAUCAUCCGGAGGGAAGAACUGGAAGAAGCCGGAAGCACUGUUUCAACCACUGCGAGGUCUACUCCUUCCGGCCUCCGUUUUGGAACUCGGUACAGCCAAGCAGGAUCUAUACGCGACGAUGAGAGCUUAGCUAGCUCUCCGUCUGUCCCCAACUAUAUGCAAGCAACUCAAUCUGCAAGAGCCAAGGUGCGUUCGCACAGCCAACCCAAGCAGCGGCCUAUGACUCCAGAGAAGGAUGGAUCCUGGGGCUCUGCAAAGAAGCGGCUCUCGUUUCCAAUUUCAGAGAACUUAAUCAGCAAUUCUGGUCCCAUGAUGAAGCCUUUUCGCCCUUCCGCGUAUCCACAAAGAAGCCCGAGCCUUAAAUUAGGAGUCCGUUCCGAACGAUCUGUGUCUUCAGUGGGCAACGACAGCCAAAAUGGUGGUGAUGGUACACCGACUUCUACCGAACUUUCAAGUUGCAGAGCGCCAUUUCGGUGACUUAUCAAACUGGCAACAUUAAUUUUUUUUAAACUUCUAAAAGGGCCCCAUCAGCUGGUGGUGUUUUACUCUGUUCCUGAGUUGGAUUUUUUUCUGUUUCUUUUUCGUUUUUUUUAAAACUUAGUUUGUAUCAACUUUGUUAGUGUUUUUCCUGUUGUUGUGGCUUUGCAUGUGGCAUGCUUAUCAGGAUUGUCCGAGAGUAAGCUGUUUGCACACAUUUUAGGAAUUAAGGUACCGUAUGGUAUUUCCUAUCUAGUCCCUCCUGGUUGGGCUCCUAAAACGGCAAACUCCUUGACAAAUAGGUUUUUGCUUCGGCGGGAGGGUUGUACUGCAAGUGGACGUCGUCCUAGUUAUUCCCCAGCACAUAAUACUACUCACCAUUUACCAACAAUGAUUGAUUGAAAAGAAGUUUAUGUGAACCAUAGCUGCUCUUCAUUUGAUCUGCGAGCUAUCUCGUCAACCAAAAUAAAUUUCCGCCAACACUUUCUCACUCAGCUGAAACUCUCUAUCUGUUUUUAGAAUUAAAUCUACUCAUACAACCAAACUUAUGCAAUUUUGACGUAGUUCAGCUGGACAGCGGCGGCGAGUUAUGGUUUGGGGGAUAGUUUUCAGAUAGAUUUCGGAUACCUUCUGUGCAAUAAUGUUUUUUUUUGCUGUUACUGCCGAAUUCUCUACAGCUCAAUUUCACAAACUACAAAAAAGAUUGAUAGCAGGGUAGGUAGAUUCACAUGUUCGAUGCGAGCUUAAGCUGGUCUUUUCACUGAACAGGGAAAGUGGCAGUCACCACUACAUCCUUCUGUGCACAAUCAAUUGGUGAAUUCUCCAAUUUGAUGAUUUUGAACCAA